rnacentral:rRNA from 1 species
GUCUAUGGCCAUACCACCCUGAAUGCACCCAAUCUUGUCUGAUCUUGGAAUCUAAGCAGGGUCAGGCCUGGUUGGCACUUGGAUGGGCGAAUUGAGCACUGAGUAGAGAAGUAUUUUAGAAA